AGUGAACGCUGGCGGUAGGCUUAACACAUGCAAGUCGAACGGCAGCACAGUAAGAGCUUGCUCUUACGGGUGGCGAGUGGCGGACGGGUGAGGAAUACAUCGGAAUCUACUUUUUCGUGGGGGAUAACGUAGGGAAACUUACGCUAAUACCGCAUACGACCUACGGGUGAAAGCAGGGGAUCUUCGGACCUUGCGCGAUUGAAUGAGCCGAUGUCGGAUUAGCUAGUUGGCGGGGUAAAGGCCCACCAAGGCGACGAUCCGUAGCUGGUCUGAGAGGAUGAUCAGCCACACUGGAACUGAGACACGGUCCAGACUCCUACGGGAGGCAGCAGUGGGGAAUAUUGGGCAAUGGGCGCAAGCCUGAUCCAGCCAUACCGCGUGGGUGAAGAAGGCCUUCGGGUUGUAAAGCCCUUUUGUUGGGAAAGAACAGCAGCAGGUUAAUACCCCGCUGUUCUGACGGUACCCAAAGAAUAAGCACCGGCUAACUUCGUG
rnacentral:rRNA from 1 species